UGGGGGGGAGCUAAUACAUGCAAGUCGAGCGAAUGGAUUAAGAGCUUGCUCUUAUGAAGUUAGCGGCGGACGGGUGAGUAACACGUGGGUAACCUGCCCAUAAGACUGGGAUAACUCCGGGAAACCGGGGCUAAUACCGGAUAACAUUUUGAACCGCAUGGUUCGAAAUUGAAAGGCGGCUUCGGCUGUCACUUAUGGAUGGACCCGCGUCGCAUUAGCUAGUUGGUGAGGUAACGGCUCACCAAGGCAACGAUGCGUAGCCAACCUGAGAGGGUGAUCGGCCACACUGGGACUGAAACACGGCCCAAACUCCUACGGGAGGCAGCAGUAGGGAAUCUUCCGCAAUGGACGAAAGUCUGACGGAGCAACGCCGCGUGAGUGAUGAAGGCUUUCGGGUCGUAAAACUCUGUUGUUAGGGAAAAACAAGUGCUAGUUGAAUAAGCUGGCACCUUGACGGUACCUAACCAAAAAGCCACGGCUAACUACGUGCCAGCAGCCGCGGUAAUACGUAGGUGGCAAGCGUUAUCCGGAAUUAUUGGGCGUAAAGCGCGCGCAGGUGGUUUCUUAAGUCUGAUGUGAAAGCCCACGGCUCAACCGUGGAGGGUCAUUGGAAACUGGGAGACUUGAGUGCAGAAGAGGAAAGUGGAAUUCCAUGUGUAGCGGUGAAAUGCGUAGAGAUAUGGAGGAACACCAGUGGCGAAGGCGACUUUCUGGUCUGUAACUGACACUGAGGCGCGAAAGCGUGGGGAGCAAACAGGAUUAGAUACCCUGGUAGUCCACGCCGUAAACGAUGAGUGCUAAGUGUUAGAGGGUUUCCGCCCUUUAGUGCUGGAGUAACGCAUUAGCACUCGCUGGGAGUACGCGCAGCUGAACUCAAAGAUGACGGUCCGCACAGCCGUGCAGCCAUGUGCUUAAUUCGAAGUCAAAC
rnacentral:rRNA from 2 species